GAGGAACUCGGCACUGAUUGGAGACCCUGGUGCGUCCCAAUCAACUCACAGGGCCCAACGGUCGGAACCGCCUCUGUGGUGGGCGCGCAGCCUACGCACGCGCGUACGCUCAAUCCGGGAGUCGCCUCAGGCCACUGACUGGAGACGCGGUCGAGUCCUAAGCAACUGACAAGGCCCAACGGUCAAAACCGCCUCUGUCCUGCGCCCUCACCCAAUGCACCGGCCUACUCUCUAUCUCAUUCCGGGCGUCGCCUCCGGUUGCCAGGCAACGAGGGCGCGCGCAGCAAAGAGAAGGCGGUACUGAUGGAUGAGGAAAUCCAGGUUCGGACCGACGGCGUGACUUGCUGAAGAUCUCACAGCUAACAAGAGAAAACGCAGUGAAUGGCUUAAAUAGAAUUUCAGCUUUGGGAGCUCACGAGUGAGAGGCUUCUUCCUUGAUUACCCUGGGAAGGAGGAAAUCUUCAUUUUUGGUUUGCAAGACCAUGAAAACAAGACAGUAUUUUGAUGUAUUGUGUCUGGAGCUGGUUCCUUCUGGUGGGUUCGUGGUCUCGCUGACUUCAAGAAUGAAGCCUCCGACCUUCAU